CUUUUGUUUCUGUAUUUAUUAUUUUGAUUGUCUUUUUAAACCUUUUUCUCAUUGGUCCAUCAUUUUCUGCAGAUGAGUUAUAAUUUCCCAUUAUACUUGUGGAUAGGUCAGUAUUUCAUCAUCAUUGUACCCACUUUUGCCUUGUUUAUGCUGAGGUUAGGUUAUGUUGUUAUAUCUACGCAGGUCCAUGACUGAGUGAAACGCUUUUGGUCAUAUGACAAAGCACUUCACUCAGUCAUGAGACAAAGCUCUCUUUGUCCUUGUUAAUGCUUUUCAAAUGUGAUUUGGGGGAAUACAGAUAUUCCAACCACAUUUGGGGAGGUGGGUAGUAUUUCCCCCAUAUUUUUUCCAUCCCUCCAUUUCAAACAAAAUUUUUAGUCUUGAUGUAUCUCUCAUCAAUAGUAUGUUGUUGGCUUUUAUGGAGAUUUUAAAAGCAUAAUGUAUCUCCUUUUGAAUAGCAGGGAGGAAACAGGUGCUCCACCACAAUGGGAGUUUUGAGAGAGCCCAUGUAUGCAGCUCUGUGAGCAGCAGGGAAGGACGAUUACCCAGAGAUGCAGACACACCCAUGAGAAGGGCUAGGACCGACCACACCCAGUGUGGGCAAGGAUGUGGAGAAACGAGAACCAUCGACCUGCCAGUGGAAAUGUAAGCUGGAAAAGGUGCUUUGUAAAAUCAUUUCUCAUGAUCUAUUAGAGGGAAGGAUGCAUGCCCUAUGGCUCUGCAAUUCCGCUUCUAGGGGAAAGAAAACCACAGAACGGGGGCACGUGUCCACCGAGAGACAGGCACGCAGAUAUUCAGAGGGGCAUUGUUUAUAACGCCCCCAAACUGGACACAAUCCAAAUGUCCAGCAGGAGUAGAAGGGACAAAUUGCAAUCUAUCCAUGUCAUGGAAAACUUUACAGCAAUGGAAAAGAAGAAACCAUGCUUAAUACCACACAGAUACUCCCACAAACAGAAAGUUGAAGCCAGGCGUGGUGGCUCACACCUGUAAUCCCAGCACUUUGGGAGGCCGAAGCGGGCGGAUCACGAGGUCAGGAGAUGGAGACCAUCCCGGCUAACAUGGUGAAACC
rnacentral:lncRNA from 1 species